rnacentral:rRNA from 1 species
CCCUUAGAUGUUCUGGGCUGCACGCGCGCUACACUGACACAUUCAGCGAGUUCCUGGCUCGAAGGGGUCGGGUAAUCAUGUGAGCAUGUGUCGUGAUGGGGAUAGAAUAUUGCAAUUAUUACUCUUUAACGAGGAAUUCCUCGUAGGCACAGGUCAACAGCCUGUGCCGAUUACGUCCCUGCCCUUUGUACACACCGCCCGUCGCUCCUACCGAUUGGGUGAUCCGGUGAAUGAUUCGGACUGACGUAGUGCUAGCUACUAGUGCUAUUUCGGAAAGUUUUGUGAACCACAUCACUUAGAGGAAGGAGAAGUCGUAACA